AAACAAGUCACUUUUGUACUUCUUGAACCUUUCUUCGAUAUUUAUUAACACCUCCAAACCUGAUUGAGCAAUGUUUAGAAUGGUGUCGAGCUCGAUAUCGGCGGCUUCUUUUGGGUCAAACAAGAUCGAAGGACGAGUAAAUGGUCGUUUACGCUGCUCAGUAUCCGGGACUGCUAACCUCUGCAGUUGAGCAACAAGUGAAGUAGCCAUCGUUAAACCUUAACUGUUAAGCUGGUUUAUUGUAACCCUGAGCGAACGAGAGAGAGAUGAAAGAAAGUUUA
rnacentral:misc_RNA from 1 species